rnacentral:sRNA from 1 species
CACUGAUCUGCCCGGGGUCAGACGAAUGCUUGUCAGUUGUAGUUUUCCAGGAUUCAGCUCCAAUGAGGAGGAAACAUGCUACCUUACCCCUGUUCUAGCCUGGGAACCAGUAAUUGUGAACUCACCAGGGUUAAUUUGAAGAGGGCAUGAGAGCUUAUUCCAUAAGGAACUGUCUGAGGCAUUUGGUUACCUUUCCUUAGCUUGUCCAUUAGCAACUGUAACUAAAAUAGUUUGGGCUAUUUGGCAUAAUUAGCUAAUUGAAUGAUUUUUUGAUUCAGGAGCAGCUUGUUGCUAUAUACCAUUGAAAAGCCUUCAGAGCUAAGAGGUUAGUUGAUAUUUUUUGUUCCUUACAGCUCAUGCCACCAAGUAGGCAGUUUCUAUGAUGAAUCAAACUAGCUCACUAUGACUGACAGUGAAAAUACAUGAACACCUGAGAAACUGGAGAACGCAGGGAGUGGGGGGUAACCAUGUCUGAGGAAUCUUUCACCCACAGCUUUGUUUUUCUCUAGGUACUACUAACCAAUAACCUGCUUGGCUCAAAGGGCCAGCACCUUCUCUCUAAAGCCCAAGAGGAGUUUGAGGAAAACUAGGUGUCUCUGUUCACUCCAGGCUGAAGUUACAGGUG